rnacentral:rRNA from 1 species
CAGCAGUGGGGAAUAUUGCACAAUGGGCGAAAGCCUGAUGCAGCGACGCCGCGUGAGGGAUGAAUGCCUUCGGGUUGUAAACCUCUUUCGGCAGGGAAGAAGCGAAAGUGACGGUACCUGCAGAAGAAGCACCGGCUAACUACGUGCCAGCAGCCGCGGUAAUACGUAGGGUGCGAGCGUUGUCCGGAAUUAUUGGGCGUAAAGAGCUUGUAGGCGGUUUGUCGCGUCUGCUGUGAAAAUCCGGGGCUCAACCCCGGACUUGCAGUGGGUACGGGCAGACUAGAAUGUGGUAGGGGAGACUGGAAUUCCUGGUGUAGCGGUGAAAUGCGCAGAUAUCAGGAGGAACACCGAUGGCGAAGGCAGGUCUCUGGGCCAUUAUUGACGCUGAGAAGCGAAAGCAUGGGGAGCGAACAGGAUUAGAUACCCUGGUAGUCCAUGCCGUAAACGUUGGGAACUAGGUGUGGGCCUCAUUCCACGAGGUCCGUGCCGCAGCUAACGCAUUAAGUUCCCCGCCUGGGGAGUACGGCCGCAAGGCUAAAACUCAAAGGAAUUGACGGGGGCCCGCACAAGCGGCGGAGCAUGUGGAUUAAUUCGAUGCAACGCGAAGAACCUUACCAAGGCUUGACAUAUACGAGAACGCGGCAGAGAUGUCGUUCUCUUUGGACACUCGUAUACAGGUGGUGCAUGGUUGUCGUCAGCUCGUGUCGUGAGAUGUUGGGUUAAGUCCCGCAACGAGCGCAACCCUCGUUCUAUGUUGCCAGCGCGUAAUGGCGGGGACUCAUAGGAGACUGCCGGGGUCAACUCGGAGGAAGGUGGGGACGACGUCAAAUCAUCAUGCCCCUUAUGUCUUGGGCUUCACACAUGCUACAAUGGCCGGUACAGAGGGCUGCGAAACCGCAAGGUGGAGCGAAUCCCAAAAAGCCGGUCUCAGUUCGGAUUGGGGUCUGCAACUCGACCCCAUGAAGUCGGAGUCGCUAGUAAUCGUAGAUCAGCAACGCUACGGUGAAUACGUUCCCGGGCCUUGUACACACCGCCCGUCAAGUCACGAAAGUCGGUAACACCCGAAGCCGGUGGCCCAA